UAGGGAAUCUUCCGCAAUGGACGAAAGUCUGACGGAGCAACGCCGCGUGAGUGAAGAAGGAUUUCGGUUCGUAAAACUCUGUUGUUAGGGAAGAAAAAAUGUAUAGUAACUAUAUACAAAAGAGACGGUACCUAACCAGAAAGCCACGGCUAACUACGUGCCAGCAGCCGCGGUAAUACGUAGGUGGCACGCGGUGUCCGGAAUUAUUGGGCGUAAAGCGCGCGCAGGUGGUUUAGAAAGUCUGAUGUGAAAGCCCACGGCUCAACCGUGGAGGGUCAUUGGAAACUAAUAAACUGGAGUGCAGGAGAGAAAAGUGGAAUUCCUGGUGUAGCGGUGAAGUGCGUAAAGAUGAGGAGGAACACCGGUGGCGAAGGCGGCUUUUUGGCCUGCAACUGACACUGAGGCGCGAAAGCGUGGGGAGCAAACAGG
rnacentral:rRNA from 1 species